GACGAACCGGACAAACGUUAUUCGGAAUUACUGGGCGUAAAGGGCUCGUAGGCGGCCAACUAAGUCGGACGUGAAAUCCCCAGGCUCAACCUGGGAACUGCGUCCGAUACUGGAUGGCUUGAAUCCGGGAGAGGGAUGCAGAAUUCCAGGUGUAGCGGUGAAAUGCGUAGAUAUCUGGAGGAAUACCGGUGGCGAAGGCGGCAUCCUGGACCGGCAUUGACGCUGAGGAGCGAAAGCCAGGGGAGCAAAGCGGG
rnacentral:rRNA from 1 species